GAUAAGAAGAAUGUAGUUAGAACAAAAAAGUACACAUUUUUGUAAUCUAGUUUCGGUGUUGAAUUUUAGAAAAAGAUGCCGUCUCCAUAUUUGGAUUUUUCUCCAAAGCAUCUACAUCUCUAGCAGCUUCAGUUCUGUGGAUGUGCAUUCAAAAGUAGUUUUGAGAGCUUGUUUGGAGGCUCUAGCAGGCGAGCGUGGCUACUCCUAUGCCCUUGACCUAAGAUUGGUCCUCCUCUAUCAGGGAUGGUCAUCUUCUUCCACUGAGCGCACAGCUUCAGGAGGGACGCACAUGGAAACAAUGAGGGAGAAAAAGGGCACCCGCAUAGCCAGCCUGAUCAGCUGAAUUAAUUCUGGCCAUCAAUGGGGUGACAGAUGUCACAGCCAGAUCACCCUCACAUCCUAAAAAAUGGAAAACAGGAAGCAUCAGUGAAUUUUGGGUGCUCCCGGCAAACUGGUGAGUAUGUCCUCCACCCUGACCUCUGAGCAAAUUGUGUGCUCAAAUGGCAGCUUUGGGGACCAUUGAAAACUUUAAUGGCACUUAGACACCCUCCUGGAGCUUAUACAUAAUAAAGUUUUCAUUCCUUCUUGAGGCAAACCAAUUAGAAAGCCAAACCAAACAUCAAAAAAGGUGGUGGUGGCAGAAGGGGUUGAGUAAAUGAAACAGUACAUUCACAGUAGAAUGAGGUCAAUCUAAUAUGCUCUGACAUGGCCUAAAGUUGAGCUCAGAUAUAUGAGCCAGUUCCCAAUCUGCAGAGAUUACACAAAAGCCCUGCUUGCAAAAGGAUCUCCUUGAGAAAAUAUGUUGCUCACAAUUUAAACCAUCAGUUGGUUGUUAUUCAUUUAACAUCAAAGGGCAAGACUUGUGUUCUAUUCAAGAGCCCAGCCUAGUUAUGUGAGAUACUACAGUGUAUGGAAUGGGCCUCCUAAUGUCUGUGAUGGAAGCUCAUUCCAGUGUGGCACAUCAUCAAUACUCAGUAAAGGAGGUGCCAAGGGUCAUCUCACAAGCCACUUAGAAAACUGUUAAGAGUCAUAGUUAUAAGGAUGAGGAUGGUUGUUAUUGCUGAAAGCUGCUUUUCUACAAAGUUUCGUGAGAAAGAGCUGGCUCACAUUGCCACAGAUCAGGAUCCAAACCAGUUACCCUAUUAGAACAUAGUGUAGCUGUCAUCACGUUCAUCACAACAGUAGGUCUUAGGCUGUUGGUUACUAAUGGCAUGGGGUGUACAGACUUGAUCAUUUCAGCUUCACUGACAACAAAUGAGACAGACCAAACAGUCUCCAACUAGCAAAGAUUAAGUUAGUCUUUUCUAGGAAUUAUGAGUCUGGGCUAAAGUCACUAUAACCAAAGAUCUACAACCUCCUCAGGUAUGCAGUAUUCAAAGUGCAAAUCUAUCUUGUGUGGCAUCACUAAACUGGUCAUCUGGGAGGACAUUCUUUGUAGGGUGACUUGACAACAUAGAGACUUGGGAAGCUUGUCUUCUUCCAUGGCCAUUUGACAUUUUACUUUUUUUCUCUAUUCCUCCUAAAGAUACUCUGAAGUCACAAAGUAAUGAAAA
rnacentral:lncRNA from 1 species